rnacentral:misc_RNA from 1 species
UGUUGUUACGGUGUAACGCUUCGGCUUUAUUUUAGCAAUGAAUUCGGCCAUCAGUGUUAAUGAGUAUGAUGGAGAUUUUAGGGAACCUGCAGAAGAUAAAUCUUUGCGCAAUAUCUCUGAUGAAAAUGACUUGACAAUCUGCUCCCCAGGUAAAGGAGAUACAUUAUCUUCAAAUUUACGUGGUCUGAAAACUUCAAUUUCCUCAAAUUUUCCAAGUAUUUCAAGCCUGGCGAACGCGGACAUAAUUGAGAGUGAAAAUAUUGUGGAUAAAAAUGAAAUUGAUUUGGAGGACAGUAUUUCAUCGGUUAGUAGUAUUUCAGAGUAUGAAGAUUCUGACAACAAUGAAGAUAUUGCAUUUGAUGGAUUUCAAAAUCAAAUAAAUCAAAAUCGUGGAUUUCCUUCCUCCUCUAAUGAGGAUGAAUUUGAAGGUUUUAGUGUGAUAGAUCCUGCCGAUAAUAGCCUUUUAACUAGCUUUUUAAACAGACAGCAACGUCCUGACAUUGAAAACAAUGGCAAUAUUUGUUCAAAUCCACCUGAAUUGGAUACCCUGACUGACUCUUCAAGCUCCAGCAUUUCAUGCACUUUUGAAGGUUUUGGUAUGAUGGAAGAUACAAAUAAGAUGGCUCUAAGGCAGAUAGAAUCUUCUAAAUUUGAAGCUAGGCCUACAUGGAAUAAAUCUCCAACAAAUGCCCAUCUCAAGAAACAUUUGCAGAAACAGGGGAAAUUAGAAAGUCUUGUCCCAAUUUCUAAUGAUCUAAUUACUACCAAUUGCAUGAAUAUGAAAAUUAAACCUAAAGAAGAAGUAGGAGAUUUUAUUGGUCCUUAUUGUCAAGCAAUUGGAUGCACUGUGUCUUGGUUGGAAACUGAUUCUCCAAUGACAUCUCCAGUGGAAGUGAAUAAUGCCAUAGUUUUUGAGCUAUCUGAAUUUGCAAAGAAGAUUGCUUGGGAAAGAGAAUAUGUGGCAUAUUGGAUUAUGCGCCUUCAAGGAGUAUCAUCGGAAUCUUCAAGUGCUACUGAAGAAGACUUGAAUAAGAUAAAUAUGGUGGUAAAGAGAAAAAAGGCCAUUUCAGUGACAUUUUCUGGCAAAAACUUGCUAAAGCCUAAGCUUGCUGCUUUUGAUGCAGAAAAAUUCAUUCUUCCUUCGUUAAAAAAUUUGGAUAACUUUAAUCAAGAUUCAGUGGAGUUUCCAUGCAGAAAUGAUCAACUUGAAUGUCCCAAGCCUGCUUCAUGCAAUUCAAAUAUUUCAAAAUCAACCCAAUUGCAUUUAAUUGAUAAAAAUUCAAAACCUAAAAAUAAAGGCAGGAGAAAAUCUGAGCUUCAUACAUCUAAGCUAGUCAAUCCUCCAACUAAGACUCAGCACAGUUUUACUAAUCUGCCAAGUGAACAUGCCUUACAAAGUGAUGAUGCAGUCUUUAAGAAAGAUGAAAAAAGCACUGAAAAAUCUUUCAUUUCUUAUAUUGAUAAUACUUCAGGAGCUUUAGUGAAGACUUCAGAAGCUGCUGAGAAAGAGCCUACUGCGAAGUGUUCAGUGGCUACUGUAGAAAAGGCUCUAUCUGCCAAGGCUUUAAUGGAAGCUCCAUCUCAUUCAGCAAAGACUUCUGUUGAUGUUAUAGAGAUGAUCUCUGUUAAGGCUACUGAGAAGACUUCAGUUGAUGCUAUGGAGAAGAUAUCAGUUGGUACUACAGAGAAAGCUGCAGUUGAUGCUAUAGAGACAUCUUCUGAUGUUGCUGGAGAGAUGGCCACAAAUGACAUUGGCAAGAAGUAUUUGGAAAAGAUUGGGGAAAAGACCUUAGAUAACACCAUUAAUGAGUCUUUUAAUGUCACUGUUGAAAAGGCUUUGGAUGCCAAUACAGAGAAUUUUCCACAUGCUAAUAUGGUUAAGAAGACCUCAAGUGUUGAAACAAACAUUGUUUCUGAUAUUGCUCUUGGAAAACAUUUGAGUGUAACUCUUGAAAAAACUCAGAGUGCUGCUGGAGAGCAAACACCAGGUGAACCUGUGGCAAAUGAUUUGUCAGAAAAAUCAAGGCAAGUGAAUGUAAGUUCUAUUUGCCCAUCAUCAAAUUUUGUUGCUUCUAACCUUUUGUCCAAUGUAUCGGCCAAUUCAAUUCAUGAUUCAGAAGAUCAUCUAUCAGCAAGUUCAGAUGAUGAUCUAAUUAUAGAUGAAACUUUACCUUCCAAUGAUGAGCAUGGUAGUGAAACUUCAGCUUCACCUAAAUCUUCCAUAAAUAAAGAUGACAUAGGUUCUGAAAUGUGCAGUAAUGACCACAAUGUUCAUUCUGCACCACUAUCCAUUGAUAAACCUCUUGAACUACAUCAAAGAGAUGGAAAUGGAGUUAAUUUGAUAUCUAAAGAUGCCACUUGGAAGAAAACAUCUGAAUUCAUCUCUAUUGAAACUCAAGCUCCAAAAACUGGUGUUGAAAUAACUUCUAGUUCUACUCCAAGCAACAGCUCUGAGGUUAUUUCUACCAAGACUAUUGGAAAUUCCAAUGCUAAACUUAAGGCUAACUUGGAUGGUGGUACAGCCAGUGCCCUAAAUCAAUCAAAAGCCAGCAGCUUAUGUGCAGCUCAAACUUCUCUCCAUGUCCUGAGAAAAGCUGAGCUGGCCAGAACUUCUUUUGGACAACACAUUAAGUUUGCUUCAAAGAAAGGUAAAGCUGAUUUCACUGGUAAGAAUGUACAGUAUCCAAUAUUUGAAGUGCGUGACAAUGUCAUAGGCCCUUAUUGCAACAGAGUUGAGCUGAGUGUGAAAGCCCUCAAUGCUCCUUCCAGGAAAAUUCAUUUGACUAAUGGAAUGAUAAUAGAGUUGUAUAUAUACUUCAAAGAAAGGGGUGCAACAUUGACAUCACUUGUCCAAAAAAUUCAUCAAUUGACAAAAACUGCGUUUGAUGUCAACCUAAUUCAGCUACAGAUGGCAAAAAUUCAAGAAGUUGUCAACACUGAAUUGCAAAAGAAAACUGAAUAUUUCCUAGACAAAGAGUUUUCCUUUUUGUCUGAGGUAGCUGGUACCCCAAAAUUGAUGACAAAGCAAGUUAUGAGACCAAUUCCUACUCCAAAGAUUGUGAAAAAUCCAGCAAUGAUGACUAAUAAAGGUCAUAAAGAGCAACCAUACAUGAAAAAUGUACCAAAAAUGCAGAUAGAUGAAGUUCAGAUGACUGAUGCUCCAAAAGAGAGAAUUGAUUCUUCACUCCUUGCUGAUUUUGAAAAAUCCAAAGGUAAAGUAGGUGGCAUCACUAGAGGAGACAUUGUCAGCUUAUAUUAUUCCUGGCUUCAGUUGAAAAAUAAAGACAAAGAAAGUGUUUUUGUCAUUGACUUGUUGAGUGAUGUUGAGAAGUUGAUGCUAGACAGAAAAAUUGAGGUGAUAAGGAUACCUGUGGGGAUGCUGAUGUCUUCAUCUGUCAAACUGUUUGAGGAGUAUCAGCAGUAUCGUGCCUCAAGCCCUGAAGAUGCUUUAGCCUACUUGGAAGAUGACUGGCUUGAUGACAUCAAUUGCCUUCUUGCAUCUUCUAAAAGAAGAAAAGUAGCUGAUGAGAUCCCCCAUUCAACAACAGAAAAAUCCACUGUUGAGGAAAACCCUGUCAAUGCAUUUGCCUCUGAUAGUGCCUCUGAAAAUUUUCAUCCUCAAGAAAAAAAAUCUAAUAAAGGGUCUCAGAAAAGAUUAGCAGAUGUCUCGUUUGAAAACAAGCAUCCAGAAAAAAGAUCUAAGUUAUCUUCAGAGAAUGAGUUGAGUGAUGAUUUGUGUGAAGUUUACCCACCUCUUCCUGUCAUAACAAGCAGCCAUUUCACUGAUCUGACGUUUGAAUAUAGAAUUGAGCGAGUGGUUACCUGUAGGUUGAGCUACAGGAAUGGUAAGGCUAUCUAUGAUUAUUUGAUUGAGUGGAAAGGUGAAUCUCCUAUUGAUGAUACUUGGGUUGAAGAAAAAGAUUUUCCUCCUGGCUGCUCAUUUAUUGCUAAAUUCUGGGAAAAUAACCCUGAAAGGAGGAUCCUUAUUGAUAAAAUUAUGAGUCAUAAAGUGAUUGAGGAUAGCCAGCAGACGACAAAACAAUAUCUUGUUUCGUGGCAAACAUAUAAUAGUUCUUCAUGGAUCACAGAGCAAGAUUUUGCACAAAGUUCAAGGAAAUUACUGGAUGAAUAUAACCAGACACACAAUCUGGGAAGCAAACAAAGAGAAACAAACCCAGAGGGAACUGAAGACAGUAACCAACUUUCUAACACUGCCACUGUUCCAUCUUCUCCAUGUGCUUCUACCCCCAAGAAAAUUCCCAAGGUGGGGAUUGGGGAAUCUCAUGAUGCUCCAAGCCAAGAUAUUGAGUUCACUAAUGGCCAGAACUGUGACCCAUUUGAUGUUGGAUGUAAAUCAAAUUCUAUUGAAAGCACAAACACAGCAAAUGUGUUGGAGGAUUCUUCUGAAGCUACAUCAGGUACUCUGUCAGUACCAAUCGACUCUCAAAGUCAAAUUGAAACUCAGAGUAAAAGUCGUAUCUCAGAUGCUAAAAUCAAUGCCAAUGAUUUGCAGCUACUUACUGAUAUUGUAGAAACUGAAGAUUUAGAAAAUGAAGGAAUAUCUGCUACAAAUGCUGAGCCAGCAAAUGAAAUCAGUUCCACAAAUGAUUCCCAAUCAUCAGUUGACGUGUCGAGUAAUGUUCAACAUUCUGACAUUAAGGGCUUAAACAUUAUUCCGAAGGCUAGAGAAUCAGUACAGUUAUUAGACAAGGGCUCUUCCAGUGCAUCCUCUCCUUCUCAGCCCUCAAAAAAGUACCCUUCAAAUGAAUCUACAAAUUUCAGUUUUAAGAGAAAGCCAAGAGAAGAGAUGUUAACAGAUGAAGAAAAAGCCAAGAAAAUGGAAGUACUGAAAUCAAUUCCACUAAUGCAAGUGAUGCGGCAGUCAGAAUGCAUGCAAUUUUCUGAGCUAGUGGUGCAGCAUGCAAUGCCUGAAUAUGAUCCUGCAUCAGCCUUGCAUCUUGGUAAGAAAUUCCGGCAUUUUACUAAUGGUAAGGUCUUGAGCAUUUAUGAUGAGUGGAGAAAAUUAAAGAAGGCAAAAGUUGAUGAUUCUCUUAAAAGUUUUCAAGCUCUGAGAGAUAAGAUUAAAGAAUGUAUGGAAUCUGAUGGUUUACUUUAUGACUAUGAUGACUGUCUUCUUGGACUGUGUUACUCAUUGUAUCUCACGCGUUCACGUCUCGCUUCAAUGACGGACCUAAUGACUUUUAAUUCAUGUCCAUGCAUUGAAACCAUCAAAGCCUUCAAAGCCAAGCACUCAGAUGUUCUCCACAAAUACUAUAAUACAUCAGAUAAAUCCAUAAGCUCAAGACCAGAAAUAAUAAAGGAUAAACCUUUUUUGCUCAUGGAUAAAUUCAUGCACAAACAGAGUGUUCUUAAUCAAAAGAUAUGUUCAGAAGCAGCAGCAGAAGCUUGCCAAGGUCUUGCAACUCUCAAGGAGAAUCUUGCUGAUUUGGAUGUCAACAGUCUGGCUGCUAUAAAGAAUGAUAUUACAGAGUAUGAACAAGGCUGUAACUUUGUUGAAAAAAAGUACAAAGAUCAUUCUAGUUCCUUGGAUAAUUACAACAAGGGAAUGGAAAAACAUGAAGCAAAGCAGGCACUGAGGAAGUUUGGCUAUGUGAGACAAGAAUUAAAGGACUUGUUAUCAUUGGUCGCAGAAAAUCUCCAGCCUUGAAAUACAUUAUAAAUUGUAUAUAUGUAAAGCAGCAUCAUCAGUUAUUUGCAGAUAAUGUACAAAAGUGACCAGCCAGAAUCUACCAUCACAACACUGAAACACAAUCCUAAGAUAACUGCCAUCCAUAUGAUAAAAUUACUCCACAUGGGCCAAAGAAUAAUUGUAUAAGUUAAUGUGGUGCAAGUGGCAAUGAAACUACCUACUGCAAAUAUUCUGAUAUUGUUCAAGGAAACAUCAUAGUGUUCUGUAUUGCACAUUGAA